rnacentral:piRNA from 1 species
UCUGGGCUAACAGGGCCAACUCUUUGUCUC